UCCCUGGUGGUCCAGUGGUUAAGACUCUGUGCUCCCAAUGCUGGGGCCUGGGUUCCAUUCCCAGUCACGGAA
rnacentral:tRNA from 1 species